rnacentral:rRNA from 1 species
UAAGAAGGGGGCUAGCGUUGUUCGGAAUCACUGGGCGUAAAGCGCACGUAGGCGGAUCGUUAAGUCGGGGGUGAAAUCCCGAGGCUCAACCUCGGAACUGCCUUCGAUACUGGCGAUCUUCGAGUCCGGGAGAGGUGAGUGGAACUCCGAGUGUAGAGGUGAAAUUCGUAGAUAUUCGGAAGAACACCAGUGGCGAAGGCGGCUCACUGGCCCGGUACUGACGCUGAGGUGCGAAAGCGUGGGGAGCAAACAGG